UCUCGAGACCCUGAGGAUCUUCGGCGGUGGUAUCGAGAAGCUGAGGAAGGAGUGACAGGUGCCCGUCGCUCUUGAGGCAGAGCUUGGUCCACUCCUAAAAUAAGGGGAAACAUCAGGGUUCCUCCUGCCUGACUUCUACUCCCUUCUCUGCCUGAAGAUCAGAAUGCAAAGCUCUCCGCUGGUGGUCCAGUACCAUGCCUGUCUGCUCCCUGUCACGAUGACCAUAGACUAAGUCUCUAAAACUGUAAACAAGCCCCUAAUUAAAUACUUUUAUAAGAA